rnacentral:piRNA from 1 species
UGACGAGUGCCAACCGAAGAAGUCUAAUC